rnacentral:tRNA from 1 species
AUUUAAGUAGUUUAUAAAAAAUAUAGAGCUGUGGUUUCUAUGAAACUUGGAAGUCUUAAGUU